rnacentral:rRNA from 1 species
CCUACGGGGGGCAGCAGUGAGGAAUAUUGGUCAAUGGGCGAGAGCCUGAACCAGCCAAGUCGCGUGAGGGAGUACUGCCCUAUGGGUUGUAAACCUCUUUUGUCGGGGAGCAAAAGCCGGACGUGUCCGGCUGUGAGAGUAACCGAAGAAAAAGCAUCGGCUAACUCCGGGCCAGCAGCCGCGGUAAUACGGAGGAUGCGAGGGUUAUCCGGUUUUAUUGGGUUUAAAGGGUGCGCAGGAGGAUUUUUAAGUCAGCGGUCAACUCGUGGGGUGCAACCCCAUCCAGCCGUUGAAACUGGGGAUCCAGAGUGUGCGAGAGGUAUGCGGAAUGCGUGGUGGAGCGGUGAAAUGCAUAGAUAGCACGCAGAACCCCGAUUGCGAAGGCAGCAUACCGGUGCACAACUGACGCUCAGGCACGAAAGCGUGGGUAUCGAACAGGAUUAGAUACCCUGGUAGUC